UUGGCUCAGGAUGAACGCUGGCGGCGUGCUUAACACAUGCAAGUCGAACGGGGAUACAUUGAAUGAGAGCUUCGGCAGGAUUUUGGUGUAUUCUAGUGGCGGACGGGUGAGUAACGCGUGAACAAUCUGUCCCAGACAGGGGAAUAACACUUGGAAACAGGUGCUAAUACCGCAUGAGACCACGGGUAGGCAUCUACCUGAGGUAAAAGGAGCAAUCCGGUUUGGGGUGAGUUCGCGUCCGAUUAGAUAGUUGGUGAGGUAACGGCCCACCAAGUCGACGAUCGGUAGCCGAUCUGAGAGGAUGACCGGCCACAUUGGAACUGAGAGACGGUCCAAACUCCUACGGGAGGCAGCAGUGGGGAAUA
rnacentral:rRNA from 1 species